UACGGGGGGGGGCAAGCGUUGUUCGGAAUUACUGGGCGUAAAGGGCUCGUAGGCGGCCAACUAAGUCGGACGUGAAAUCCCUCGGCUUAACCGGGGAACUGCGUCCGAUACUGGGAUGGCUUGAGUUCGGGAGAGGGAUGCGGAAUUCCAGGUGUAGCGGUGAAAUGCGAGAUAUCUGGAGGAACACCGGUGCGAAGGCG
rnacentral:rRNA from 1 species